rnacentral:tRNA from 3 species
CGCGGGGUGGAGCAGUCUGGUAGCUCGCAGGGCUCAUAACCCUGAGGUCGGAGGUUCGAAUCCUUCCCCCGCUACCA